CACUAGCUGGUUCAUCCGGCGGAA
rnacentral:misc_RNA from 1 species